UACGUAGGGUGCGAGCGUUAAUCGGAAUACUGGGCGUAAAGCGUGCGCAGGCGGUUGUGCAAGACAGAUGUGAAAUCCCCGGGCUUAACCUGGGAACUGCAUUUGUGACUGCAUCGCUGGAGUACGGUAGAGGGGGGAUGGAAUUCCGCGUGUAGCAGUGAAAUGCGUAGAUAUGCGGAGGAACACCGAUGGCGAAGGCAAUCCCCUGGACCUGUACUGACGCUCAUGCACGAAGCG
rnacentral:rRNA from 1 species